rnacentral:lncRNA from 1 species
UUUCGUCGUGUUUGUGCCAUUGUCUAUUAUUAGUUUAGUCAUAUUUUAUUGUAAAAGUUGUGUAGAGUAGUGGUGAUUUUGUGUUAAUUUGAGCUUAAUGGUUAAUUGUGAUGCUUUAGGUGUUAACUGAAGAAUGUCGAUGUUAAAGCAUUUGAAGGUUGUGAAGAAAGCUCACAACGACGCAAAAGAGAGUGUUUAAGAUAUGCUAACCAUGGCUCACAAUGAAUCGGGGGUGAUUAGAAGAAGAUUGAGAAGAGAAGGCAGUGAGCCGCGGCGCACUAGCCAACCGGGUUGACUGCUUGAAGGAAAAUGGGCAGAAUGUGAAGUGAGCCGCGGCGCACUAGUCAACCGGGCUGACCCUGACAGUUUUCUGACGGGAUUUCUCAUAAGAAUGGCGGUUUUUAGAGAUUCAAAUACACUUUUUUCACUUAGAACUUCCAUCAUUUUCCCUUUUUGAAGCAAGAACAAUAGGAGAACUUUAGUUUAUCAUUUUAUUUCACUUUCUUUACGCAUUGGAACGGAUUUGCACUUUGAAUUUCGCAAUUAUUUCUUUAUUUUUCUUCUUUGUUUUAA